rnacentral:rRNA from 1 species
CCUACGGGUGGCAGCAGUGGGGAAUAUUGCACAAUGGGGGAAACCCUGAUGCAGCGACGCCGCGUGAGUGAAGAAGUAAUUCGUUAUUUAAAGCUCUAUCAGCAGGGAAGAAAAUGACGGUACCUGAGUAAGAAGCCCCGGCUAACUACGUGCCAGCAGCCGCGGUAAUAAGUAGGGGGCAAGCGGUAUCCGGAUUUACUGGGGGUAAAGGGAGCGUAGACGGCAGUGCAAGUCUGGAGUGAAAGGCGGGGGCUCAACCCCCGGACUGCGCUGGAAACUGUACGGCUGGAGUGCAGGAGAGGUAAGUGGAAUUCCUAGUGUAGCGGUGAAAUGCGUAGAUAUUAGGAGGAACACCAGUGGCGAAGGCGGCUUACUGGACUGUAACUGACGUUGAGGCUCGAAAGCGUGGGGAGCAAACAGGAUUAGAUACCCGGGUAGUC